AAGUCGUAACAAGGUCUCCGUUGGUGAACCAGCGGAGGGAUCAUUACAGGGUCUAACGACUGCCCAAAACCAACCGUGCUCCUUUCCUUUUAUUUUGCUUCGGUGAUCGCCUGCUGGGGAGGCCACCGGCCGGGCGUCAUGCCUGGUGGUUGCCGAAGCAUACCAACUCAAAACUUUACUUUGCAACUUAUCUUCUGAGAACUUUCUACAAAAGAAAAAUCACAACUCACAACAAUGGAUCUCUUGGCUCUG
rnacentral:misc_RNA from 1 species